AGCGAACGCUGGCGGCGUGCCUAACACAUGCAAGUCGUACGUGAACGGGGGCAACUCCUAGUAAAGUGGCGUACGGGUGAGUAACACGUAGGUAAUCUACCCUAGAGUUCGGAAUAACCUGACGAAAGUCGGGCUAAUACUGGAUAGAGCGAUGGAAUCCGUAAUUGGGUUUUUCGGGAAAGGGAGCUCGCAAGAGCCUUCGCUUUAGGAUGAGCCUGCGUCUCAUUAGCUAGUUGGUGGGGUAANGGCCCACCAAGGCUUUGAUGGGUAGCUGGUCUGAGAGGAUGAUCAGCCACACUGGAACUAG
rnacentral:rRNA from 1 species